CAAGAUACCUUGAACUGCAGACC
rnacentral:siRNA from 1 species